rnacentral:lncRNA from 1 species
CUAGAGUCACAAUCUAAUUGGACUCUUCAGCCAUCAGAUCUAACCAAAUCUUCUAAUGUGUGUGACCUCAUAGGUUUGAACCUAAGUUGGUAGCAUAGGAGCAACUUUCUAUACCAAUCGAUGUAACUAUUUAGUAAUGAUGACCCGAUGACCGGAUGGAUCGAAGUGUUGCACAGCAACCUUCUAGAAUCUACUGGCGUAUAGUUACCGUAUAAUUUAUCCCUUUGAUCCAAAUGCUCAAGAUGACUUAGGGUUUAACUGUCAAUCCUAAUUAAGUCGACCAUAUUGUAUUUCAACCUUUCAAAUUCAUCUCAUGAAUUAUCCUGACC